rnacentral:rRNA from 1 species
CACUAGUGAUUGGUGUUCUUCCCGAUAUCUACACAUUCCACCGUUACACCGGGAAUUCCAGUCUCCCCUACCACACUCUAGCCUGCCCGUACCCGGCGCAGAUCCACCGUUAAGCGAUGGACUUUCACACCAGACGCGACAAACCGCCUACGAGCUCUUUACGCCCAAUAAUUCCGGAUAACGCUUGCACCCUACGUAUUACCGCGGCUGCUGGCACGUAGUUAGCCGGUGCUUAUUCGAAAGGUACACUCACUUGCGCUUGCUCCCUAACAAAAGCGGUUUACAACCCGAAGGCCGUCAUCCCGCACGCGGCGUCGCUGCAUCAGGCUUGCGCCCAUUGUGCAAUAUUCCCCACUGCUGCCUCCCGUAGGAGUCUGGGCCGUAUCUCAGUCCCUAUGUGGCCGGUCGCCCUCUCAGGCCGGCUACCCGUCGUAGGCUUGGUAGGCCAUUACCCCACCAACUACCUGAUAGGACGCGACCCCAUCCCAUACCGAUAAAUCUUUCCCACAAUCACAUGUGAUCAUGUGGAGCAUCCGGCAUUACCACCCGUUUCCAGGAGAAUCGAAUUC